rnacentral:lncRNA from 1 species
CCCUUUCUAUUCACACCCUGUGAAAGAAAGUAAUUACAAUGAAUGAAGAAAUUGAAUGAUGGCUUUGAUUGCCUUGACAAGUAUGAAAUAUAAUAACACUUGCAAUCCAAUCAAUUCUUUUGUAUACUUAGUAAAUAAUGCUCUUUAAGUUUACAAAACUUUAAAACACUUUACUUCAAGCAACUCAGAAAAAUAGCUUUGAAAGUUUGAGUUCAAGUUGCUAGAAGUGCAGAAAACUAUUUCAGAAAAGUAUAGGAAAGUGUGAAAGAGUUGUUCAAAAAGUUAUUUUCAUUUUGAGUUCUAAGACCUUUAAAUAGGCUUUCCAAUAAGUCAUUGUGCCUUUAUGAAAGAGUAGGAAUUGUUUGGAAUGAAGGCAUUUCAUUUGGUAUGAAAAUCCUUGAGUUUCAAAUCUGAAAAAUUGAUGUAGGAGCUCUCAGUAACCGAUUACAGCAAGUGGGUAAUCGAUUACCCAAACGUGACAUUUUGAAAAAUUACAUUGAGUAAUCGGUUACUCACUUGAGUAAUCGGUUACUCAAACUCUCUAUCCAACAGUGAAUUUAAAAUUCACUUAGAGUAAUCAGUUACUCAAAUUUGAGUAAUCGGUUACUCUAAUUUAAAUAUUGUCGGAUAACUGAUUCUCACUCAUGUAAACUGUUACUCAAAUGUCAGUAACUUGUUACACAGUAUUUUAAAAAAUGUUUUCAUUUAAAACUUGAAGUGUUUCAAUUUCUUUUUUGAGCAUUACCAUUUUAGUAUAUUAAAGAGUAUAUGAUAGAAGUACCUAUUUAGACUUAGACUAAUUGUCUUGAAGCUUUAAUCUUCUUGGUCUUCAUAAGUAAUUUUCCUUUUCUUCUUUUUGGUGAUGUUGGUGUCUUCAUCAAAACCUUUCAAAGGUCAGGAGCAAAGAUCUUCUUCACAAUCUCCCCCCUUUUAAUGAUGACAAACCAAGAUCUUUUUUAUAGUGUAGUUUUCUUGAGAGCAGUAUACUUUGAGAUAUGUUGAAGUUUGACUUGAGUAUGCUCCCCCUAUCUUGUAUGCUCCCCCUUUCUUUU